rnacentral:lncRNA from 10 species
CUCUCUACUUACAGGUAAAUUGUCUUGUGAUUAUUUCCACAGAACUCUGACUUGGAUAAGACUUGUAUCCAUUUUAUUACGAUGUUCUUCUUUUUUACAAUUUAGUUCCCCAGAGGGCAAGACCAAGAUGGAUGUACCUGCUUCUUGAGCUGAAUUCUCACCAAUCCCUCAUUUCUGGUCAUUCUUAACCUUACUCCCAGAUGUGUUUGGUCUACUGCAGCCUUCGGAUCCCUACUAGAGUUUGCCUUAGGAAUCAGCUUUCUCAGACCUGUGUCUGAGAUAAAAUGUCUGGGAUAAAAUGUCAUUUAUCCUGCUUCCUGGAUUCUGAAAUUUGAUGAUUCUGUUCUCCUCUUUCAUCUCUUCUUUCUUAAACCCUUUUUUUUAAAAAAAAAUCCUGUAACUGUCAUUUACUGGAACUUCAGAGAGAAGCAGAGGUUAAUACCUAUGUUCAAUGGAUACAGGAGAUAAAAAGAAAUUAUUUAGGCAGUUAAUGAGGGUAAGAGAGUUCUUGGCAAGGCUUCCCUUUUAACACAAGCAACCCGCCAAAUCAUUUCUUUUCUAACAAAGAGCAGCCGGUAAAAUCAAGCCACAGACACAGAUAAGCAAGCUAGAAGCUUUCACAGGUAAAUGUGGCAACUGUGCCAAUAGAAACACACUACCUAAGGGCCAGGUAUGUUCAACAUGGAGGUUCCCUCUUCCCUUUUGUGGCUACAUAAGUGGUAAAAAAGCAUGGAGCCAGCCAGGUAGAGGCCUCAUCUGCAUAAUAAAAGAUUAGGGUGAGAUGUCCAGCUUCUUCACGCCCUAUGCAAACAGCACACCUGGUCUGACUAAUCUCUUGAUCCCUAUGUAAAUGAGACACCGCCUCCUCAAGCUCCUCUAUGAAAUCCCUUGCAUUUCAGUAGGAAACCAGAAGACCCACUUGGGAGCCCCAUGCUCUCUCUGCAGGAAAGAGAGCUUUUCUUGUCUCUUUUCUCUCGCCUAUUAAACCUCAGCUCUUCAACUCACUUCUUGUGUGUCUGUGUCCUUGAUUUCCUUAGUGUGAGACAACGAACCUCAGAUAUUUACCACAGACAACGUAGCCACUUCACAAUCUUGCAAAUUUUCACCAAGUCCUUUUCAUUAUUAUGUAAGGAGUUGGAACUGACUGAUGAGGGUUUGAUUGUGAUUGCCUCUAGCUCUCCCUGAUAGCAUUUGGAUGAGCUGGACAGAUGUAGGAUUAACAAAGGUCUGUAGGGUGGAGCAAAUAUGUCUCAUUACCAAGGGUAAAAUUUCAAGUGAAGAGGCUCCCAUACUAGAGCAACCACAACAAAACAAAUAACCAUGGAUUUGGGACUGAACACUAGGAAAGAGUGAAUAUAUGUUUUUGAGGUCAGCUGUGCUGAAGGCAAGAGAAGAACAUUGCCAAGUAACUUCCAAAUGUGACAUUUUUCAACCUUGGUUUAUGACUGAAAAGCCAAGAAAGACUAAGCUAAAAUGGAAUUCAGCUUCCCAGCCUAAAUAGUGGGAGAGGUCCAAAAUACAGCUAAGGAAAAUUUUACUGGGAAAGCUAGUUGUAUCCAUUUACUCUGUUCUACACAUAUCAAUUAGAAAUUUUAAAAAGGUAAGUUUGAUCAAGCUUUUAUUCCGACAUUUGAAAA